rnacentral:misc_RNA from 1 species
GAUGAAGAACGUAGCGAAAUGCGAUAAGUAAUGUGAAUUGCAGAAUUCAGUGAAUCAUCGAAUCUUUGAACGCACAUUGCGCCCCUUGGUAUUCCGAGGGGCAUGCCUGUUCGAGCGUCAUAUUAACCACUCCCGCUUGCGGGGUCUUGGGCUUCGCCUCCGGGCGGGCCUUAAAAUCAGUGGCGGUGCCGUCGGGCUCUACGCGUAGUAAAUUUUCUCGCGAUAGGGUCCCGGUGGAUGCUUGCCAACAACCCCCAACUUCUUAAGGUUGACCUCGGAUCAGGUAGGGAUACCCGCUGAACUUAAGCAUAUCAAUAAGCCGGAGGA